UGGAAGACUAGUGAUUUAGUUGU
rnacentral:ncRNA from 3 species